CAAUAGCGUAUAUUAAAGUUGUUGCAGUUAAAAAGCUCGUAGUUGGAUUUCGGGGCAGCCUGGCUGGUCUGCCGCAAGGCGUGUACUGGUCAGCUGCUCUUCCUCUCGAAAGCCCCGACUGCUCUUUGUUGUAGUGGUCGGGUAGUUCGGGACGUCUACUUUGAAAAAAUUAGAGUGUUCAAGGCAGGCUCUCGCCUGAAUACAUUAGCAUGGAAUAAUGGAAUAGGACCUCGGUUCUAUUGCGUUGGUUUUCGGAACUCGAGGUAAUGAUUAAGAGGGACUGACGGGGGCAUUCGUAUUGCGGUGUGAGAGGUGAAAUUCUUGGAUCGCCGCAAGACGACCGACUGCGAAAGCAUUUGCCAAGAAUGUUUUCAUUAA
rnacentral:rRNA from 1 species